CUGGCGACGCGGAAGCUCCGCAACACGCUGUCGGUCAGCUUCAUGGCGGCGGGUGGGGAAGGCAGCCGGGACUGGCAGCGGGCGGGCUGCUGAGGGGCCAACCCCUGGUGGCGGCGGUGUUGAGCCGGUGGCUAGCGAGAAGUCGGCCGGCAGUGGGGCCGCCUCCUUUUCUUCCUCCUGCUUGGACGACUGUCUUCCGCCUCAACUGUGGAGCCUCGCCGACCGUUAGUCCUCACAGACACCUCAGGGGCAACCGACGCAGCGCCACCUCAUCGUGUCCGCCAUCUUGGGGCGACGGCCAGAAGUCCAGGGCUAGGAGCCUCAGCCGGCGGACGCCAGGAAACAGCUUUCCCACAGUUAGAUCAUCAGCAAAUGUCACUUGGAUCCCUAGCUAAAUUGUUCUUCCCAGAAAAUAGUUAUCUCCACUAUGGAAAGUAUUUUAUCAGAAGAAUUCGUAGAAGUAGAAUCUGUUUGUCUUCAGUUAAACAAAAGAAGAACCUCAUUGCUUUCCAACUGGGCCCCGGCCAUUUUCCAGUUGAAACAUCAAAUAUUUUAUUUGUGUCUUUCACUGCCAAUUAAAGGGCAACAGAAAUGGUACAGGUCUAGGUUAAUAGCAGGUAAUUGUGACAAGUCCAGUGUGGGUUACUGGUCAUGAAGAAUCCAUUGUUGAUGACAUCCCAGAAGAGAACACUAAGUCUUAGCUUUCAUCUUACCCCUGAACUUCCCUUCCUCUGAAGCACUCAUUAGGUGAAUAAACAAUAUUCCCUAUACCUAUAGAGUGGAAUACCACCCAGCAUCCUCUCACAUACAAAGAAAGAACAAAUUGCUGAUAGACACAGAUGUCCAUCAAUCUCAAAAGUCGUCAUGAAACCUCUGGAAGAAUUGAGCUGGUCGACUAUGCAAACAGUUGUCAAGAGCCUAUAAAAUAUGCAGCAUAAAAUUUUUCCUUUGUAGUCAAACCUGAUUAUUCCUCUUAGAUACUGGGAACAGAAUUUCACAGUCGUCAGAGAAUAUACCUUUUGUAUUUUCGUAUUAAAUAUGUACUCCUAUUACUUAACAAUUGUAGUUUAACUCCUUUUUUAGGUAAAAUUCUAAUUUUUCUCUUCUGUUAAAAAUUUCCAGUUCCAACACGAAGAUAAUAAAGAAUAUUAAUUUUAUCCU
rnacentral:lncRNA from 1 species